AGAAAUGUUACAUCCGAUAUAUUAUCAAAAUUUUUAAAAUUAUUUUAAGUGGGCAUUCGCUGAACAUGCCCGUGUUUCUAUAUCAUCGAAACAACAUACAUUUUUUGCAAGACCAAAUGAAAUACCAGUUGGAUUUUUCAGUGUGACGCGGUUCAGUAACAGAAAUAUAUCAAGUCUCUUUAUAACGGAGGCAUAAGUGAAUAUGUUUCCAACUGGGUAGUAAUAUUUUUGACAAAUAAAACAAUGUUUAACAGAUGUGUCAAUAAAUUUGACAUUUCAUAGUCUGGAGAAAAUAAACGAAAGUUAUGGAUCGCAGUUCUAUAAAGUUUUUACAUCGUUAAUGUAUGCUUUACGGGAAAUAUAUUUUUUAAAUUAUAUAUUUAAUAAUAUUUUUGGAGAACUCAUAUGUGAAACAAGUAAAAAAAAAAUUUUUAUAUACAAUAAAGGGUGAAUGCAUAUGUGCCGUACACAUCACAGAUUUGUAUUGGAAUUAUUUCGAUAAAUUUGUGCGAAAGUAAGAACAACACACCAGAGAAAGACCGACCGCAAAGUAAAACUCGUGUGUGAAAAACACAAUUUAGUGUUUUUCGUACGCUUCCCGACAAGAAUUCGAAAAAAAUCACAAAAAUAUUGGAAGAAAUUUAUCAGUGAAAGUGUUGGUCUUUUCAAAAAUCCUACGGAUGUGCCCAGAGACAACUAUAAUGAGACCAUAGAUACGUACUCAACAAUCGGAAAAAAAAGAAAGUUACAAAAUUGUUUAGUGAAAACUAUUUGAGAUAGUAUAAAUUAAAGUGCAUACUAAAUUAAUAUAUAUAUAAUAUAUAU